ACAUGAUUGCAUAAUAGAGAUACAAGCAAGAAUCAUUAAGUUCUAUGAAAACCAUAAGCAUUGACUAAGCACUUGUUACUAUGAUUGCAUGAAACUUAUGCCAAGAAUUUACUUAACACGAUUGUGAUCAACAAUCUUUACUACUUGUGAAUAUAAGUUCAUAACGAUUAGGUGAAAUUCCCUUAUAUCCUAGCAUCAA
rnacentral:lncRNA from 1 species